rnacentral:misc_RNA from 1 species
GAUGAAGAACGCAGCGAAAUGCGAUAAGUAAUGUGAAUUGCAGAAUUCAGUGAAUCAUCGAGUCUUUGAACGCACAUUGCGCCCCCUGGUAUUCCGGGGGGCAUGCCUGUCCGAGCGUCAUUGCCGCCCUCAAGCACGGCUUGUGUGUUGGGCCCCCGCCCCCCGGCUUCGGGGGGCGGGCCCGAAAGGCAGCGGCGGCACCGCGUCCGGUCCUCGAGCGUAUGGGGCUUCGUCACCCGCUCUGUAGGCCCGGCCGGCGCCCGCCGGCGACCCCAAUCAAUCUUUCCAGGUUGACCUCGGAUCGGGUAGGGAUACCCGCUGAACUUAAGCAUAUCAAUAAGCGGAGGA